rnacentral:miRNA from 1 species
UCAAAUGCAAUUUUUAUA